GGUGAGUGGGCACCAGGCUUCUUUAACCAUCUGUGCCAGGUGACUCCCUGACGGUGGCAUCAACCCCAGGGUAGAUUAACCCUUUCCUGUUUAUGCCAAACGUUGUAAUUGAGCUUCCUAAAUCUGGAGCUGCUGCCGGUGGUGGAAGAGAUGGAGAGAAAGAGUUGGCUCUCCUACAGAACAUAUGAUGGAAGCUGUUUGCCAAAUACAGAAAAGUGUAAAUGAGAUGAUUAAAAUCACAGCUGAUCACCGUUAA